rnacentral:misc_RNA from 1 species
AAAAAAAAAAAGAAAAAAAAAAGAUAUAUGAGCUUCCAACAGGGUUUGCAGUCAUCAGGAGUUUUAUCUUUUUGAAAGGAUCUUCUUCCUACAUCCACUUGAGCGCACUCGGAAGCUCCCUCACAAUGGCCUCUGCUCUGAAAAUACAUCUUCAAGCCCCAUGGAAUCCUAACCAGAUCUAUGAAAAAGAAGUGAUGUUGGUGAUGAUUUAUUGCCUCACACUAGUGGCCUUAGGUUUUCCCUGUUCUUUAGUUCUUGCCUCUUCUCACAUUUCCACAACACAGUCAUGGAAUCUUGAGUGGAUUUGAAUCUUUAUAUUGUGUACUAAGAAACUAAUGUUUAUUGCCACUUUCCUGCCAUGUCACUUUAAGAAAUCAGUAUCACAGUUUUUUGCUAUAUGAUUAGCUGUUUCCUUGACAAUGCUGCUGUUAUAUUGCCAUCACAAAAUCUUGAAGCUUAAGAAAAAAAAAAACAGAUGGAACACUGCAGGGUGACUGAAGUGCAGAAAGAUAAACUAGUUUCAAGUAUGCUUCCCAUGUGGAUGACCUUUAUUUCUUGUGGAGUUGUAUUGUCCAUAGGAAAGACUUUCUUUGUGGAGCAUGCUAUCAAUACAAAUCAGGAGUUUCGGGGCUGGGAAGUUCUUGUUCCCAUGUUUAUACUCUGUCAAAUCGAACCCAAAAAUGAAGAGCAAAUUGGGAGCAUUAAGGAGAAAAUAUGCCGCAUCAAUUGGGAUGGUAGCUCUACUUUAUUUUGUAUUGCAUAGCUUCUUGUUGGGUGGAAGAAAAGCUAAAAAUGUCGAAAGGAAGUGCUCCAAUGAUCAUAUUUUGGCUACUUCCACGGUUUUUUCCUUCUCCAUUUCUGUGAAGGACUUUUAGAGAAGAGCUUUUCUUUCUUCUGAGUUCCUUCACCCAUGAUGAUGUACCUGCUCUGGUUGACUGAUGCCGCCGUAGGAGCUGGCUUUUCUUUCUUCUUGUAUGCUGCUGGCUUCAGCGGUGGGGUCACUUUGAUGCAUAUAGCCGGCAAAGCGUAUUUGGUUGUUAGAGCACAAUAGCCUUUAAUUCGAAUUGGUUAAUAUUAUUUUAUAAUUUAAUUUUUUAAUUAUAAUGGAUU